rnacentral:rRNA from 1 species
UACGUAGGGUGCAAGCGUUACUCGGAAUUACUGGGCGUAAAGGGCUCGUAGGCGGCCAACUAAGUCAGACGUGAAAUCCCUCGGCUUAACCGGGGAACUGCGUCUGAUACUGGUUGGCUUGAAUCCGGGAGAGGGAUGUGGAAUUCCAGGUGUAGCGGUGAAAUGCGUAGAUAUCUGGAGGAACACCGGUGGCGAAGGCGGCAUCCUGGACCGGUAUUGACGCUGAGGAGCGAAAGCCAGGGGAGCAAACGGG